GUGGAUGUGAACGAAUUGGUUGAGUUAAUGGACUGCAAAUCCAUGUAUGUGGGUUCGAGCCCCACCGUCCACUCA
rnacentral:tRNA from 1 species